rnacentral:rRNA from 1 species
UACGGAGGAUGCAAGCGUUAUCCGGAUUCAUUGGGCGUAAAGGGUCCUGAGGUGGCCUGCUUAGUCUACUGUGAAAGCUCAGGGCUUAACCCUGACAAUGCGGUGGAAACUAGCAGGCUAGAAUACGGUAGGGGCAGGGGGAAUUCCCGGUGUAGCGGUGAAAUGCAUAGAUAUCGGGAGGAACACCAAAGGCGAAGGCACCCUGCUGGGCCGAUAUUGACACUGACAGACGAAAGCUAGGGGAGCGAAGAGG